GACGAACGCUGGCGGCGUGCUUAACACAUGCAAGUCGUACGGUAAGGCCCUUUCGGGGGUACACGAGUGGCGAACGGGUGAGUAACACGUGAGUAACCUGCCCACAACUUUGGGAUAACGCUAGGAAACUGGUGCUAAUACUGGAUAUGUGCUCCUGCUGCAUGGUGGGGGUUGGAAAGCUCCGGCGGUUGUGGAUGGACUCGCGGCCUAUCAGCUUGUUGGUGGGGUAGUGGCCUACCAAGGCGGCGACGGGUAGCCGGCCUGAGAGGGUGACCGGCCACAUUGGGACUGAGAUACGGCCCAGACUCCUACGGGAGGCAGCAGUGGGGAAUAUUGCACAAUGGGCGCAAGCCUGAUGCAGCAACGCCGCGUGCGGGAUGACGGCCUUCGGGUUGUAAACCGCUUUCAGCAGGGGCGAAGCUUUUUGUGACGGUACCUGCAGAAGAAGCACCGGCUAACUACGUG
rnacentral:rRNA from 1 species